rnacentral:rRNA from 1 species
AUGGAGAUUUUCUUAAGUUUGUGCUUAGUUACCGUAGCCACGGUGCUAGUCCUUUGGUUUCUUAGUUCUUCCAACGACAAAACCAAGACCAAGAAGAGGUUGCCUCCUGGACCAUGGACCCUUCCGAUCAUCGGCAGCCUCCACCACCUCGUCGGCCAGCUCCCGCACCGAGCCCUGGCGGAGCUGUCUCGCCGGCACGGCCCGCUCAUGUACCUCAAGUUCGGCGAGGUCCCCACCGUGGUGGUCUCCAGCGCCGAGGCGGCGGCGCUGGUCAUGAAGACCAACGACCCUACCUUCGCGGACCGGGGAAGCGGCGUCGCGCUGGACAUCGCCGGCUGCGGCGGGAAGGGGAUCAUGCUGGCUCCCUACAGCGACCGUUGGCGGCAGAUGCGGAAGGUCUGCAUCGUGGAGCUUCUCAGCGCCGCCCAGGUGAGGCGCAUGGCGUCCAUCAGGGUGGAGGAGGUGGCCGGCCUCGUCCGCUCCCUGGCCGCCUCGCCCGCUGGUAGCACCGUCAACCUCAGCGAGAAGUUGCCGGUGCUGGCGAACGACAUCGUCGCGAGGGCCGCGUUCGGCGGGAAGUGCGCGCAGCAGGGCGAGUAUCUCCGUGAGCUCGACGACGUGAUGACGCUGCUGGGGGGCUUCAUCCUCGCUGACCUCUUCCCGACGUCAAAGCUGGUGCGGUGGCUGGGCACCGGCGAGCGCCGCCUUAGGAGGAGCUGUGGCCGGAUCCAGCGCAUCAUCGACGACCGCAGGGCGAGGCGUGCAGCCGACGGUCCCCGCAGCACCGAUGACGAGGACCUGCUAGACGUGCUGCUCAGGUUGCAGGAAGAGGACUCGUUGACAUUCCCUUUAACCGCCGAAAUAAUUGGCGCGGUCAUCUUUGACAUGUUUGCAGCUGCUAGUGAGACCACAGGAACGACGUUGGAGUGGGCAAUGUCGGAGCUCAUGAACAAUCCCAAAGUCAUGGCAAAGGCACAACUAGAGGUGCAGGAAGUGCUAGGUCCAGAACGAGCAGCCAUCACAAACUCCGACCUCGGUGGACUCCACUACCUUCGGAUGGUGAUCAUGGAGACCCUGAGGCUGCAUCCUGCGGGUGUUAUCAUCCUCCGAGGGGCCAGAGAGGAUUGUGAAAUAUUAGGUUAA